GCCAUGGUGGCUUCCUCUGGGGCCUUGGGAGAAAUGUGGGCAACGGCCAAGUCCAGGAUGGUCUUCGACUCAAGAAAAUCGCAUCCAUGCGUGACCAGAGCCUUAACACUGGUGUGGAUCAGAGAAGCGCCUCUGCUCACAGAAAGUGAUCAUGUGCCAGGCAUCAUGCCGAGUACUGGAGACAGACAAUGACAUCAAUGGACUGGGGCUCCUGCCCCCAAGGAGUUGACAUUAAAACGAGGGACGUGGACAAAGAUGUAAGCAGAGAAACAGGGAAUUUCAGAAUGAGAUCAGUGCUAUGAGGGCAGUAAAGAGGAAGUGACGAUGCGUGCUCAGGGCAGCCCUCUGGGAGUGGUAGCAUUUGAGCUGAAUGGUGAGAAGGAGUCUGCUUUGUGAAGCACCAGCAGGGAGCUUCCCUGGCAGAGGGCUCAGCGUGGGCGCAGGGCCUGAUGCCGGAAAGAACUUGGCAGAAGAGCUGUGUGCCAUCAGAAGGGAGCUGAGCCAACUCAAGGAAAAUAUUUCAUAGUCAUUCAAGGGAAGAACUGUGGAUACCUAUGAGAAUGUCUGACCUCAAAGUGGAGGAGGCGGGGCCUAGUGCUCAUUCCAGGCCCUGGCCAUGCAGCAACAGAGGAAUUCCUAAUGCUGGCUUAUAUAAAGCAGAAGGAGGAUACAGCUCCCUACUGGACCCUGCCAUGUGAAUUUUCUCCUUCACACUCUCUGCACCAACAGUGAGCAUUUGGUUCUGAACCUAAAUUCUAGAUUUUUCUUCUAUAGAACACAAGCCCUACUUUUAUAAUUUAUGUGUUACAGUAUCCUAUAGUUUUAUAUUACAAAACUUGAGUUACCAUGCAUUCUAAAGAGUUUAUCUAUCUAUCUAUCUAUCUAUUAAUCUGAGAGGCAGAGAGAGUUUUCCCAUCCACCUGUUCCAUCCCCAAAUGCCUGGCUGGGCCAGGCCAACGCUGGAAGUUGUCUCCCAUGUGCAUGUCAGGGAUCCAACUACGUGAACCACUGCUGCUUCCCAGGGUCUGCCUCGUUAGGAAGCUGACGCCAGGAGCUGGAGCCUGAUAUCAAACCCAAACACUCGGAUGUGGAAUGCAGGCACCUUAACUACUUGGCUAAGCACCUGCUCCUUACCUUGCAUUUCAUUCCAUCAACAGACAUGAAUCCCCUGGAAUAUACAAGGCACCACUCUGGGCACUGGAAAUACCCAUGAAGAAGAGAAGUAGCUUUCGAAGAGUUGAUAUGGGGUCUGUGGGGUCAGAAAACAAGCAGGAUCAUUGCAGAGAGGGCUAAGUACUGCAAAGGAUUUAGAGCAAAGCAGAGCAUGAGCAGCAGGGUGGGAGAAGGGGUGAAGGGAGGGGAGGGUAUUUUACCUGGGCUGGGCAAAGCCCAGUUG